GCUCUGGCAAGAAGGGUUCGUCGUCCAUGUAGUCGAUCACAGGGGUAUCGACAUCGUCUCAAGGUCUACCGGAAACAAGUAAUGGAGGGGGAACACAAUAAAUAAUAGUGCAAUCAAAGCAACGCAAAGCAUAACAUGGCGAUACGCGGUGCUCGAGGUGACCUAAUGCAGUAGUAGGCGAUACCGGCGAAGGGGGGAAACAUCUGGGAAAGUAUUCCCGGCGUUUGACGUUUUCGGACGGUCGAACCGAAGGGGGAAGGUUGCAUGUUCACUAUGCUUGGGGUGUGUGGUAGACGAACCGACUGCGUAUUCAGAUUCGUCUCGUUGUUCUGAGCAACUUUUAUGUACAAAGUAUUUUCAUCCGAGUUACGGUUAUUCUCCCAUGAAUUUCCAAGUUUUAGCUAUUCUUAAGAUUUACUGAAAUUUGGCUAAGUAUGAGAAUCCCUCAGUUGUGAACAUCAUGUAGCUCUUUUCCAAAGGCUAUAGCUAGUGUUCUGCUCAUCCUAUGUAGUAGUGUCUUAUAUCAAUCUUGAUCAAAUUUAUGUUAUCUACAAGAUGGUAUCCAUUGCAUCACUGUGAGAGUUCAUUUGCUUAAUUAAAAAUUUGCUUGAAAAGUGCCACUUCUUGUUAAUUCCAGAAACAGUUAAAAUAUACGAACAUAGGAUUUUGUGAUUUUCACCGAAUUUAUUCCAUGCCUUAUUUGAAUUUGGUCCAAUGGGGUAACUUGGAGCUUGUCAAGUGUACUACCUGCCAUAUAAUUCUUAUCCACAAUAGAAGUCGUUUUGAUGUUGUUUUACUACAGUACAGAGGGCUAGUCAGUGUAAACGUACCAAAGCUAGCUACUACUUGCUACAGUAACUGAACAUUUACUGUAGCAAAGGAGCAGCAGUAUUCAGCGGCAAUAGCGGCAAGGCAGCUGGCAGCGGCCACAAGCAGCAGCAGUUUCCCCCGCGCACGGGCAAGGGCAGCUGCGGGUGCAUCCCACGAUGACGAGAGCGGCGGGGUGCGGCCAGGGGACGGCCGGCUCGCGGCCGGACGCAGCCAGGGGGUGCGUACGGUGCACCGUGGCGCGAGGCGCGGGCGCGCAUCACGGCCAACGGCCGGAGCUUGGGCGGUGACAAAAGCAGGGGCGCGGCCGGCGAGUGGAUGCGGGACGCGGGCAACGAUGGGUGCGGCGCGGGCGCAGGCAGGAGAGCCCGGGGGGCGGGCUGAGCGCGAUGACAAUAGGCGAGGGCGUGCGGGAUCGGAGCACCGUCUAUGGCAGCCUCGUCGGGUGCGGGCGACUAUGAUAACGGGUCAAGGUUGAGGAAGGGGAGGUCGAAGGAGGAGCUCACAGGGGGUGCAGCAAAGGGCUCGACGGAGGCGGGGACGCUGCGGUGGUGGAGGAUCGAGUAGCGAUGCGCGGCGACCGCGGGGAGGAAGAAGAUGCGCGCGACAUGGGGAUGGCUCCAUGGCUUCCCUUCGGUGGCGUGGGUGACGAAGACGAAGUUGCUGGACGUCCUGGACGUGAUGGCGCAGCACGGGGUGGCCGGUGGCUACGCGAACGGUGAGGCCAUGGCUAUGGGUGGUUCGGGUUCAUCCAGAUCGGGAAGAGGGGCGAGGGG
rnacentral:lncRNA from 1 species